rnacentral:lncRNA from 1 species
GAAAUUUUUUAUUUCUACUUGUGGCAAGAAAACAAGUUCGGUGACACCAUGUUUUCUUUUUAUUUUCUUAAAACAUAUUAUGAAACCUAUCUUCUCACAAUUUAUUUCAAAAUUCUAUCUCAUAGAUUUUUUUGUAUGCACUCUUAUGUGUUUUUUCAUGAACAAACCAACCAAAUUUAGGCAAUUUUCAACGACUCAUAGCUUGAAAAAUAGCACGGUGACCCAUACUUUUAAUUAUAGUUUUGAAAAAAGCAUAUUAAAAUCUUCA